CCAUCUCCCACCAUCUGUGAAAUCCAGAAUCGUGUUUAUAGCAAGCAGAGAGAGGCAAACACAAAAAGGAGAGAACACAAGAGCAGAGUGGGAGCGCUGCUGCAGGGGCUGAGCUGGCCACGCUCUGCUGGGGGCACAGGGAGGGGCUUUGGGCACUCCAGGCUCCAUCCAAACUGGGCUCAAGGUCCUGUUUUCAUUGCUUCUGGCAAAGGCACUGUUGAAGCCCCUGGAUAUCUUCUAUCUAGUGCAGACGUGAGGGAGGUGAUUGAAGUGUUUCCAGGUGUUCCUGGCUCCAGAGAAUGCUCAGGAGGGUUUUUGGUGGUUUGUGCUCUGCACUCAGGGUCUGUCAGCAGUCCCUGGUCUGUCCUGCAGCACCGCAGCCCUGGGACAGCUGGGACAGCCUGGCCACCCCACAGGGACAGCAGGAUCACUCCCAUCACCCGGGGGUUUGGUGCCUCUAGGAACGCCCUCUGCAGCCACUGCUUCAGCCUCUGGUUCAGCUGGAUUGCACUGGAGAAAAGGUCUGGUUCUCAAAUCCCAGUUGUGAGCUUGUUUGGGUUUGUUCCAGGCUGAAACAAUCAGGUGGAAUAACGUGGAUGAUCAUCAUACGGCAUGGAAACGUUGGGAAGGCACUGGGUGGUAGGUGGGUCCUAGACAGCAUUCCAGCAAAGACCUCACCCUUGGAUUUUCAUGGAGCUGAUGAUCCACCAAAAAGGAAUACAAAGGGAAACAAAACCAGGAAAGACAGAAAGGAUGGAGGAGCCCCACUUGUGCCUGGCUGCUGGGGACUUGGCAGUCUGACUCCUGCUCCAAGCCCUCCCUUCAGACUUCUGCCUGACCUCAGCUCAUUAGGAAACUCCAUUCCUUGCUCCCUUGGAUGUGACUGUCACAAUCCCUGUUUCUUCUGGGAAAAUGACAAUAUGUUGAUCGCAACCAGAGGUGCAAGCAAAGCCCAGUUCUGA
rnacentral:lncRNA from 1 species